AUCUUUCUCCAGAGGUCACUCCUCUUUUUUUGGCAAGCCCGGGACAUGGUGUCCAGUUGGCCCACAUCUUUCAUACAACGUGCUUUGAUCAACGCUGAGAGAAAAGGAUUGUGCUGAAUAUUUUGCAGGCUGUGUUUAUACCUCCUAAUGUACUUUUUUAUAACAGCUAACAUUGUUGACUCAUAUUCAGUUUAUUAUCCUUUUAAACCUCUAGAUCUUGCAAAACUACUACCUAGCCAGUUAUUAGUCAUUUUGAAUUUGUACAGCUUAUUUUUUCUGCUUAAGUGUAGAACCUAGAGCUUAUUUAUUUCAACAGUUUGGCAGAGUGUUUUUCCAGUUUUUAAAGAUCAUUCCCUUAUUUAUUGAAUUUAAUACAUUUGUCAUUCAUACUAGCUGGUAUCUGCAUUUUUAAUAAGCACUCUUUCAGCUGGGCCAUUAAUAAAAAUACUGACUAAAACUUGGUG
ensembl:lncRNA